rnacentral:sRNA from 1 species
UAUCGUCCUUGUAACGGGCUACGUGGUC